GGUGACUGCGUACCUUUUGUAUAAUGGGUCAGCGACUUAUAUUUUGUAGCGAGGUUAACCGAAUAGGGGAGCCGAAGGGAAACCGAGUCUUAACUGGGCGAAUAGUUGCAAGGUAUAGACCCGAAACCCGGUGAUCUAGCCAUGGGCAGGUUGAAGGUUGGGUAACACUAACUGGAGGACCGAACCGACUAAUGUUGAAAAAUUAGCGGAUGACUUGUGGCUGGGGGUGAAAGGCCAAUCAAACCGGGAGAUAGCUGGUUCUCCCCGAAAUCUAUUUAGGUAGAGCCUUGAGGUGACACCUUUGGGGGUAGAGCACUGUUUCGGCUAGGGGUCCAUCCCGGAUUACCAACCCGAUGCAAACUACGAAUACCAAAGAGUGAUACUCAGGAGACACACGGCGGGUGCUAACGUCCGUCGUGGAGAGGGAAACAACCCAGACCGCCAGCUAAGGUCCCCAAGUCUAUAUUAAGUGGGAAACGAAGUGGGAAGGCUUAGACAGCUAGGAUGUUGGCUUAGAAGCAGCCAUCAUUUAAAGAAAGCGUAAUAGCUCACUAGUCGAGUCGGCCUGCGCGGAAGAUGUAACGGGGCUGAAAUAUAGCACCGAAGCUGCGGCAUCAGGCGUAUCACUAAUACGCCUUACGAUUAACAAGCUAGAAUGGCGCGAAGCGGCAUGAAAGGUUGUUCAAGCAACCCGAACGUUGAGUCGGGGUAUUUUUGAAGUAAGGAUUAUUAGUGAUACGCCUGUUGGGUAGGGGAGCGUUGUGUAAGCGGAUGAAGGUUAAUCGAGAGGUUAGCUGGACGUAUCACAAGUGCGAAUGCUGACAUAAGUAACGAUAAAACGGGUGAAAAACCCGUUCGCCGGAAGACCAAGGGUUCCUGUCCAACGUUAAUCGGGGCAGGGUGAGUCGGCUCCUAAGGCGAGGCUGAAAAGCGUAGUCGAUGGGAAACAGGUUAAUAUUCCUGUACUUGGUAAAGCUGCGAUGUGGGGACGGAGUAGGUUAGGUUAUCGCACUGUUGGAUAUGUGCGUUUAAGUUGGUAGGUGGGAAGUUUAGGCAAAUCCGGACUUCCUUAACACAGAGAGAUGAUGACGAGGCUCUACGGAGCUGAAGUAACUGAUACCACACUUCCAGGAAAAGCCACUAAGCGAAAGGCUUUACUAAACCGUACUGAAAACCGACACAGGUGGUCAGGUAGAGAAUACUCAGGCGCUUGAGAGAACUCGGGUGAAGGAACUAGGCAAAAUAGCACCGUAACUUCGGGAGAAGGUGCGCCGGCGUAGAUUGUAGUCCCUAGCGGGCGAAGGUUGAACCGGUCGAAGAUACCAGCUGGCUGCAACUGUUUAUUAAAAACACAGCACUCUGCAAACACGAAAGUGGAGGUAUAGGGUGUGAUGCCUGCCCGGUGCUGGAAGGUUAAUUGAUGGUGUCAUCGCAAGAGAAGCACCUGAUCGAAGCCCCAGUAAACGGCGGCCGUAACUAUAACGGUCCUAAGGUAGCGAAAUUCCUUGUCGGGUAAGUUCCGACCUGCACGAAUGGCAUAAUGAUGGCCAGGCUGUCUCCACCCGAGACUCAGUGAAAUUGAAAUCGCCGUGAAGAUGCGGUGUACCCGCGGCUAGACGGAAAGACCCCGUGAACCUUUACUAUAGCUUGACACUGAACAUUGAAUUUUGAUGUGUAGGAUAGGUGGGAGCCUUUGAAGCAGUGACGCCAGUCAUUGUGGAGGCGACCUUGAAAUACCACCCUUUAACGUUUGAUGUUCUAACGAAGAUGACGAAACGUGGUCUCGGACAGUGUCUGGUGGGUAGUUUGACUGGGGCGGUCUCCUCCCAAAGCGUAACGGAGGAGCACGAAGGUUUGCUAAUCACGGUCGGACAUCGUGAGGUUAGUGCAAUGGUAUAAGCAAGCUUAACUGCGAGACAGACAAGUCGAGCAGGUACGAAAGUAGGUCAUAGUGAUCCGGUGGUUCUGAAUGGAAGGGCCAUCGCUCAACGGAUAAAAGGUACUCCGGGGAUAACAGGCUGAUACCGCCCAAGAGUUCAUAUCGACGGCGGUGUUUGGCACCUCGAUGUCGGCUCAUCACAUCCUGGGGCUGAAGUAGGUCCCAAGGGUAUGGCUGUUCGCCAUUUAAAGUGGUACGCGAGCUGGGUUUAGAACGUCGUGAGACAGUUCGGUCCCUAUCUGCCGUGGGCG
rnacentral:rRNA from 1 species